rnacentral:rRNA from 1 species
ACGAACGCUGGCGGCGUGCUUAACACAUGCAAGUCGAACGGAAAGGCCCUGCUUGCAGGGUGCUCGAGUGGCGAACGGGUGAGUAACACGUGGGUGAUCUGCCCCUUAUUUUGGGAUAAGCCUGGGAAACUGGGUCUAAUACUGGAUAGGACCAUGCUGUAGGUGGUGUGGUGGAAAGAUUAGUUUCGGUAAGGGAUGAGCUCGCGGCCUAUCAGCUUGUUGGUGGGGUAAUGGCCUACCAAGGCGUCGACGGGUAGCCGGCCUGAGAGGGUGGACGGCCACAUUGGGACUGAGAUACGGCCCAGACUCCUACGGGAGGCAGCAGUGGGGAAUAUUGCACAAUGGGCGCAAGCCUGAUGCAGCGACGCCGCGUGGGGGAUGACGGCCUUCGGGUUGUAAACUCCUUUCAGCCAUGACGAAGCCCUUGUGGUGACGGUAGUGGUAGAAGAAGCACCGGCUAACUACGUG